GUCACAUCUGAGCCUCUGUGCAAUUGACGCAUCUCAGAGGCCACGGUCAUGACCUGAGAGCAACACAACAGAGAAGAAGGACCACCAAGAACUCUCCAGAGCCUGUCCCCAGGCCUCUGCGGGCGAGGAGCUCUGUCCACCUGAAGAGGCCUUUUGGAAGGUGGAAGUGACCAGACUCUAAAGAGGCCAUCUUGCUGACUGAUCUAAAUCUGGCCUAAUUCCAGAAAGCUUAUUGUUUCUUCUCUCCACCGGUGACACAUGUGAGCACAGAGUGGACACUCACCCAGGAAAGUCCCUCGGGACCCCAGGCCUCCCCAGAGUUCCACAUUUGCAUUAAAAGCUCCUUUACAAAUUUUGGAAUAUGAGACUUCCUUAAAUUGUGUCAUCAGGCAACGAAAACCAAAUUUAACUCACAGCGUCACAAGGUUAUGGAGACGACUCUGACGUAUCGCCAGAGGAUUCAUAUUCCAGACGAGUCCCGUCAGCUGCGGUGUCAUCAGAAAAUCGCUGGCAGCCGGAGCGGAGGGCGCUGGUCUCUGCCCCACUCGCCGUAUUGAUCCAAAGAAGAUUUUCCACGUUACACGGAUCCAAACCGAGCACCCGUGACACCACCGUGGCGUCUCACUGCGAUGGUCCUGGGGGCACGGGGCUCUCACGGGCUUGCCCUCUGUCCCCCAACUUGCGGACCCCAGGCGGCCCUUUUAAAGAGCUCGCUUGACCCCUGGGUGGCGGCAGCGUGGCUGGGAGGCCCGGGCGCUGAGCACACCCGGGGGCUCCAGGUCAGGGCGAGGCUGACCCCGGCCUCCAGAUGGGUCUGCACCCACGGCGUCGGCGCCCUGGUUUCCCCUGCAUCCUGGUCCCCCGGGGUGCCGUCAUCUUAAUGUCCCCGCUGACACUUUGCCCUCCAAAGGAAGCUCGCUUUCGUUGACAGAGGGAGCCCACAAUGAAUUAUUUAUUUUGACCCGCUUGGGAAAUAACUCCUCUCUCAACAAGACCGACCAAACUCCUCAGCCGCUCCCCCAUCAAAACCCAACGCAAGCGCGCCAGCCUGCCUUCCCGUCUGCGUCUGAGACCCUGGUCUUGACCUCGGCCCGCGGCUCUGCAGGCGUGGCCUCCUCCACCACCUCAUGUCAGAGCUGUCUGACAUGGCAGCUCAGACAGCUCCCAGGACACCGAGGAGAGGCGCCCGCCCAGCGCAGGGCACGGCCGAGCCGAGAGGCUGUGGGUUCCACCGGGUCCUCAGGUGACAGACAGCGAGCGACACGGUCAGACGCGUGGGUUUCAUUUCUUACGUUACUAUCAAAGUAAUUUACAAAUUACUGUCAAAUUACUACCAUUUUCAUCAAAGUCAUAAGAAAAAGCGCACUAGGUCGUGCAGCCCCCCGGCCCACCGUCCGCAUCCUGAGGAGCGACGUCCACCGAGCGUUUCGCCCACGUUUCUAGACGGCGGGCCGUGGGCUCGGCCUUCCCGCGGGGCUCCUGUCGGGCUGGGGGAGCUCGGCUCUCUGACCGCUGCACAGCCCACCACGCUUCCUGCUGUGGUCCAGCUGCCACGCGGGGUGGCGGACGGUAUCCUGGGAGAGGCUGCUGGCUCCCUGCUGCGUGCGUGGCUCGCAGGACGGCUGCGAAGUCUGGAACCGGAGGCUGGAACGUGGACUUCGAGCAACACCGAGAAACCGCUGCGUUCACCCCCGGCUCACCCGUGUGUGCGGACUUGGUGCCUCCGCGGCAGCUAUACUGGAACUACCUCCUCCCUGGCACAGCUUUAGAAUUCUCCAGUUGCCUUGAUUUUCCUGAUCUCCCCGGUGCACCUGGGAGGCCCCACGGAGGGGCUCCACAGUCACGGGUCCUCCACCUGC